rnacentral:lncRNA from 1 species
AAUUUCAGAUCAAAUUCGUAGUCGUCAGUAGUAAAGAAUUUAAAUCAAUUGUCUAACUUUUUGUGCAUGCUUUGGUAAUUUUAAUACAGCACUUGCCAACGGGUUAGAUAGUUGAUAAAUAUAUAUCAUCAGCUGAGAAAUGUCUAUUUAUGAUUAAGAAGUAAAAAGAAAUAGGAGAUAGAAGAUUAAAAUACAGCAUUAUGUAAAGGUAGGUUCGAUCAAAUAGUAUUUACAAAAGAUAACUAAUGCAAACUGUCUAAGGGCCAGUGUGAGUGUUUGACACAAUUCCAACUGUCCUGUGUUGUCUGUUAUCAUAUGUUUGAAAGCGUCAUCUGUUGUCUGUUGUCUGGAAACUUUUUAAAAUUUCUCCCCUGAAACUGCUGGGCCAAUUUAAACAAAUCAUGGCCUGAGUCAUUCUAAGGAUGUCUAGUUAAAAUGGUAUGUUUGUUCAGCUCGCCAUCCAAUUAACAUGCCCCAUGUUACUAUAAAUAGAACAUGGGAGGUAAAACACUACUUUUUCUUUCUCCAAGAUAUUACAAGGCUAUUGAGACCAAAUGUUUGUAAAAAAAUAAUAAUUACAUAUAAGCAUGAUUUGUAUUGAACCGUUUGUUAAACAUAGGCUAAAAAAAAAUGGUUAAAGGUAAUGUGUCUAUAUAAAAGUUAUUUAUCCCACUUAAAAUUGCCUCUAGUAAAGACUAAAUAAGUAGGUUGUUUCAUUACAAUUUUAUUAACAAUUGGUUUCAUGUCGAAUUCAAAUUGUAAUAAUCAAUGUUAAUAUUUAUCAAAUUGCUUUAACAUAGGAUGCACUGCUGAAUUACUAUCACCCCCUGAAAACAAAGAUUUUGAAGCUAUAUAUGUCUGUCUGUAUGUAUCAUGGGCUUUGGAAUGUGAUAAAGCAAUGUCAGGUCACACUGACCAUAACUUCGACCUUUAAUCCCUAUUAAAGUAAAAGUUUGUCCAAUUCAUGUCCAGCUCACAACUUUUGUUUCACAAAACUAAGACAAGCCAAACUUGGUAUGCUGUUGCAUCAUGUGCUUUAUGCGUCUUAUACCAAAGUCAGUUCAUUAUGACCUUGACAUGGACUUUUGACCCCAGUGAUAAUAUAACCUUGUCUGAUUUGUGUACUUAUGCAUAACCUGUACUGUAGAAUGUAGGUUAAAUAAUCUGGUUGCUGAUGCACCAUGGGAUGGGGGUGGGGGGGGGGGGGGGGGUGCCUAUAUCAAGUCAGGUCACUCUGUAUGACUUUGACCUUUGAUCUUUAUGCAAGUAAAGCAUUGUCUGAUUUGUGUACUGUGCAUAACUUGUGUACUGAAGCAAAUAAAUAGACAACACCUUGUAUGCAUAAAGAUCAUGGUCACUCUGACCUUGACCCUUGAUUCCAAUGUCAUUGUCUCAAAAUUGAAUUUACUACAGUAAAUGGUAACUUAUAUGUAUGUCCUGGGUUUUAGAUGUGCUCAUUUUUUUUAGGUGUGUUUUAUUUAUUGGUCAGAUGGACUGUAUAGUUUUGGUUGAGAAUGAAAUGUAAUAGAUAUAAUAUGUGUAUACUUUGUAAAUGACUGCAUAAGAAGAAAUGAUGUCCUUAUAUUGAAUAGCUCAAUUGUUAGAGUUUUAAUAGCUUGUAUGCCAUGUAAUGAUAAUGUAUUGAAGGGUUUUUUUUGACAGUUAGAAGACAAUGCAUAGUUUUGUUUUUUCUGGUAAAUUUAUUUGUACUGUUUAUAAAGCUUAUUUCCUGUAGCCACAAGCAUUUAUAUAUCAGUUAAAAUUUUAAAUGUAAUUUGCAGAAUUGCAAUUAAUGAGUAUGUACCAUGUUUAAAUUUUCAAUGAACAAAUAUUUUAUUUGCAUUGCUAACUGAGUAAGAAAUACAUUAUAAACAUGAUUAACUGACUGUAAUAUUCUUGAAAUUGAAAAGUCUAAUGAAAGUAUCAAAACUGUCAGUAGUAUAAAAACUUUAAAUCUUAACAUAAAAUAAUAGAGAAAUUUAUCCUCCUACAAAACAACAGUAACACAUUUCCUUUGUUUUCACUGUAAUUCAUAUUUUUCUGUAUUUGUUUUAUACCAUAUACUGUUACUUCACAGCUGUACAACUGUAUCAUUUGCUAUUGAUGUAUUUGUCUGUAAACCUUUUUAUCAGCAUGUUUUUUUUUCAGAAUAUAGCAUAUUUAACCUAUAUAUAUAUAUAUAUAUAUAUAUAUAUAUAUAUAUAUAUAAGGUACGUUUAAACAAGUGACAACUCUAUAACAGAUCCAUCCGUUGGAUCAUUAGUGAAGGUGAUACACAGCUGAAAACACAUACUGAAUUCAUAAUUACUCUAAAUAUCAAGACACAACAAUGUUAAAUCUGCAAAUGUUUGGAAGCAAAUUUGUGUUCUUCCCCUGUUGGGAUUCGAACUCGUGCUAUUGGUAUAUCGAGACAACACUGCCAUCACUGUAUCUAGCGCUCUAGACUACUCAGCCAUAUAUAUAUACAUAUUAUAGACAAACAGCAAUCUAUGGUGGUAUUUUAUUUUAACCUUGAUUAUUUGUGCAUCCUAGGCAAAAAUGGAUUUAAAUCCAAAACAUCAGAUUGUUUUUGUUCAGUAAAAUGAAGAUAGAAAUUGAAAAUAAGAAACAGACCAACUAUACCAACAAUAAAUUCUGUGGCUUUGUGGUGAUUACUGAUCAUUUUGUCUAGUUUACUUCUGUAUCCUCAGACAAUACUAUUCCAAUGUUUAUCUUGAACAAUAAUUUAUUGGCAUUAAAUCUUUUUAUUGAAGAUUUAUAUAUGCAAUAUAUAUAUGCAAAGGAGAAAUGGUGGAGCGGUGAAUAAUUAAUUUGAAUUUUCAUUUUGGACAUUGACAAUAUUCACAUUAAAAUGUGCUAUUACAGGUACAAAGUCCUUUUAUACCCAAAGACACCAGACAAAGUAUACUAUUAAAUAAUUUUACAUAUUUUUAAUUAAUUAGGAACA